UCCUCCUCCCCUUGUGUUGUGGUCCAUUGUCGGUGUCCCGGUUCUCCUGGUUCUCCUGGUGAGACGAUGCAUCUGUAGCAAACCUAAAGCUGCUCAAGCUGAGGCUGGAGAUGAUGACAUCACAUACAAUGAUGUCACAAUAUCGAGACGGAGCAGAGAGAGUUAUUCAAUUGCAAUCUACUCCGGAGUGAGAACAGAAGACGUCAGUCACGGACAAAUAGGGAUCAAAGACAAGAAAUCAACCAGGAAGCGACUAUUUCGAUUAGCGGAUUAAUCCUCAUCUGGUGCUCUAGUGAGUAUUAGUGAAUGAACUCCACUGUGUGUUCAUGGUGAUGAAGAAACAUGUCAUCCACUGCAACAGGGACCAUCUUUACAUGCACAAUAUUUUGCCCUUAGGGCUAACCCUAACCCUGAUAUCAUUUUAAAAGGCUAAGUGAGAAAACAUUGGAGAACCCUUUUUCAAUUAU